UAUGAGAUUUUUCGGGCUAGAACCCGAUUCAAUACCCUCAUCAGCUCACACACAUCUCUUCUCCACUGCAAUUUUCUUUUGGUCAGCAACCCACUAUCACCCUCAUCAUUCUCCAUCUCAGUCACGGCAGCCGCACCACUCCCAGCCACCCCCAAGUCCCUGCUCUCCGCCUCUGUUAUGUUGUACUUGCACCCACCCACCACCACCACCACCACCAGUCCAUCCUCCUCUCUCUCUCCCCCUCUGUAACGAUCUAAGCCCAAGAGUAUUCUUGGAUCUGUGGGGUUAUUUCCAUCGAAGAAGACAAAAAUUUAGAUACUUAAAGAUGUCAGUUGAAGAGUCAAACCUUCCAGGAUGACUCUACUUCUAGGCCCUCCAGGAGCAGGGAAAACGACCGUGUUGCUGGCGUAGCCGAAGAGCUUGAUCAAGAUUUGAGGGUCUGGCUUGAUUUUUAAUUUAUAAUCAAUUUUAGUUAAUAAUUGCUUACUUUUACACAUAUUACUUUUUCUGUUUAUUAUUUCUAAACAGAAAAUCUAGUGUUGAAGGAUUUCAAUAUUGACAAUGAGGCUAGUGGAGUUGGUAAAGAAAUUAUAAAAAGUUUUACUGC